rnacentral:rRNA from 1 species
GAUGAACGCUGGCGGCGUGUCUAAUACAUGCAAGUCGAGCGAACAGACGAGGAGCUUGCUCCUCUGACGUUAGCGGCGGACGGGUGAGUAACACGUGGAUAACCUACCUAUAAGACUGGGAUAACUUCGGGAAACCGGAGCUAAUACCGGAUAAUAUAUUGAACCGCAUGGUUCAAUAGUGAAAGACGGUUUUGCUGUCACUUAUAGAUGGAUCCGCGCCGCAUUAGCUAGUUGGUAAGGUAACGGCUUACCAAGGCAACGAUGCGUAGCCGACCUGAGAGGGUGAUCGGGCACACUGGAACUGAGACACGGUCCAGACUCCUACGGGAGGCAGCAGUAGGGAAUCUUCCGCGAGGGGCGAAAGCCUGACGGAGCAACGCCGCGUGAGUGAUGAAGGUCUUCGGAUCGUAAAACUCUGUUAUUAGGGAAGAACAAAUGUGUAAGUAACUAUGCACGUCUUGACGGUACCUAAUCAGAAAGCCACGGCUAACUACGUG